rnacentral:rRNA from 1 species
AGAGUUUGAUCCUGGCUCAGAUUGAACGCUGGCGGCAUGCCUUACACAUGCAAGUCGAACGGCAGCACGGGAGCAAUCCUGGUGGCGAGUGGCGAACGGGUGAGUAAUAUAUCGGAACGUGCCCAGUCGUGGGGGAUAACGCAGCGAAAGCUGUGCUAAUACCGCAUACGAUCUAUGGAUGAAAGCGGGGGAUCGCAAGACCUCGCGCGAUUGGAGCGGCCGAUAUCAGAUUAGCUAGUUGGUGGGGUAAAAGCUCACCAAGGCGACGAUCUGUAGCUGGUCUGAGAGGACGACCAGCCACACUGGAACUGAGACACGGUCCAGACUCCCACGGGAGGCAGCAGUGGGGAAUUUUGGACAAUGGGCGCAAGCCUGAUCCAGCAAUGCCGCGUGCAGGAUGAAGGCCUUCGGGUUGUAAACUGCUUUUGUACGGAGCGAAAAGGCUCUCUCUAAUACGGGGGGCUCAUGACGGUACCGUAAGAAUAAGCACCGGCUAACUACGUGCCAGCAGCCGCGGUAAUACGUAGGGUGCGAGCGUUAAUCGGAAUUACUGGNCGUAAAGCGUGCGCAGGCGGUUUUGUAAGACAGAUGUGAAAUCCCCGGGCUCAACCUGGGACCUGCAUUUGUGACUGCAAGGCUAGAGUACGGUAGAGGGGGAUGGAAUUCCGCGUGUAGCAGUGAAAUGCGUAGAUAUGCGGAGGAACACCGAUGGCGAAGGCAAUCCCCUGGACCUGUACUGACGCUCAUGCACGAAAGCGUGGGGAGCAAACAGGAUUAGAUACCCUGGUAGUCCACGCCCUAAACGAUGUCAACUGGUUGUUGGGUCUUUACUGACUCAGUAACGAAGCUAACGCGUGAAGUUGACCGCCUGGGGAGUACGGCCGCAAGGUUG